UAACCAAAAAAAAAAAAAGAAAAAAAAAAAAGAAAUACAACACAUGAUGAGCGAUGGAAUAUCUGCUUGUUCAGGUGAAAAAGCUAUUGGGAGAAUCCGAAAGCCUAGAUCUAUCUAAUAAUAUUUUAUUAGAGAAUCAGCAAAUGAAAGAGAGGAAGAAAAGGAGAUUACGUGUAAGAUCGAGUGGGGGCAUCAUAGACCUCCAUAGCCCCCACCAGCUCUCUCUGUCCUCCAGAGUCUCCCCCACCAUCAUUUCCCCUCUCUUUUUUAAUUCGUCUCUUUCGCAGAUAUUUUUCAUCUCUCUCAACUCCCUCCUCUCGCACCUUCUUUUUCCUCGUUAGGCAUCCGCUCACUACUGUCUCCUCCAUUGAAGCAGAGAUCUCCUUCUCCUCAUCCUCUGUUUGUCCCCUUCUCUCCGUCCGCUUCUCCUGAUUCCACCGACAUCGCGAUCUUCCUUAAUCACCGCGUUUCUCUGCCUGCAUUCUCCUUCUUCUGCUUUAUUCCAUUUCCUCCACCUCUUCCGACCUGUAAUUUCGCUGUUUCUUGACUAAUAUCCGUCCGCCUUCGACCGCGAACCGUCUGUUUGUCUGCCAAGAAAACUACGAGAAAAUUCCAGAAAAUUACAAGCUUAAAUGAAACUGAGAAAGAAUCGCGUAAUAGUAGAGUCCUUAUCGUAAGCCCUACGUCAAAAUAAUAUUAUUGUAGAGGAAAUUUAUUUUGUUUUGGAGACAGACGCCUUCACUUCGCAAUUCAGUCAGGACGUCAAAUCAUUACAGAUGCUAUCAGUGAAAUAUCAAACUGCGUGAACAUGAAUGUAAACACCUCUUACACCAUUUUGUGAAAUACAAUACUUCAAUGGACCAAACUUGAAUGCAGGAAGAAAAGUGGAACUGGAAAAAUUCUCAGAGUGAGGUUAUUACUGCCUCUGGGAUGAGCCUUACCAAUAAUUGCAUUUGGACUCUCAUUCAGAUCUCCAUUCUUGAAUUGAAACACCUCAAACGGAUUUCUUAAUACUGAGCAACUUCACACAUAUGGGAGCAGACGUAUUUGGUGCUUUGUCAUAGCAAUAACCUCAUGCCCCAUUGUUACUGAACUUGGGAGGUUAGCUAUUCAGUCUUUGCUCAUUGGUUCCAAGAUUCUGUUUGGAAUUAAUGCCUGAGCUUCCACCAAAUUGCAACUUUGUUGCUAUGAUCUGUCAAGAAGAACGACCUAUCUAUGAUCUGUCAAGAAGAACGAACUAUCUUUUAAUGGAAUUAUUUCGAAAGCUGUGUACUUGUUGGAACUCCGUCCUUGUGAUGCAUCAGUUGGUUUCUUGACUGCCCAUUUUCCUCUGCAAUUGCAAAUGAAGAGCAUCACGGCUUUGGCUGAUGAAACAACAUUGAAAUCUGAAUUGAUUUUGGCAUUCUGUUUCGUUCAUAGUCUUCCAGCCACCUCAAAUGCUUUUUUUGAAAAGAGUGAAGAAAAACAUUCCUGUUCUUGAUUGAUCUCUAUCUAUAGACGAAGACCCAUGUCAUUGGAGUUCUUCAAAUCCAUGAUUUUGACUUAUGGGCUCACGAAACAGUCAUGCGUAUUGAAUUGGCAACUAGUUAUGCAAGGAAGUCCUCUGUUAUCACAGUUGUCCUUCUGUGACCAACCCUUAAUCACAACUUCUUACGCAAAUGAAGAAGGUGAAAUCGGAUCAACAAUUUGGAAGAAGUAGCUUGAAGCUGUAUGCUCCCUCACUUUUAUUGUGUUCGGGACUUCUGAUUGGAAAUUUACUUCUGGGAGAUUGACAUUUUGGAUGAUAUGCUGUUAUAUAUCAAGGAAUAAUAUGCAACGAAGCCUUCUGUAGUGUCCUAACACAUAAAAGGAAUGGUGUUACCAAUACUUUAACUAGUCGACUCUGGACAUCUUGGUAGGCUUCAGUUUCCUCGGAUUGUAAGGAUUGGUCCUCUCAUGCUAUCUAUUCUGAUUGGAAAGCUUUUAUAAAUUAGUCGUUUCUCUUCUUUGGUUCUCAUUGGUUUCUAUUUUGUUGUUCUUUAGAUCGGUGUAAUUCAGCAAACACCUUGUCCCCUGUCUUGUAGUUUCUUUGUCUUUGCUGCGAAAAUAUUUGUUUUCCAUAAAAUAAAAAUUAGGUAUGCCAACCAUAUGUUUUUAGAGCGUUUAUAAUUUCUUAGGAUGGGUGAGGGUGCAAAUCUCUUUCAACCGCAUAUACAAUUUACAAGCAGAUGUAUGUAUCCCUAGGUUGGAGAGCUGAUAUGAAGAUUUGACAAGAAUUAUGUUGAUGGCGAAACUUACUAAAUUGAUGCAUUCAAUGCCACCAAUGGGAUCACUUGAACCAUUAUAUGAAGACUUUAUUUCAGAGUAUUUGUUCCAACUUCUAUCUUCCAAACAUACAUCCACAAAUUCAGGUUGUAUAUGGAGCAUAGUUGUAUCGUUGUUUGCUUUCAUUUGUGUUUUUUUCGAUUGUAGAGAAGUCUAGUAUAAGUUACAGGUGCGAGUCAUUUUUAAAUGGGUUUUCCUGAAAAGCAGCCGUCAGUGAGCAACCAUCAUUGCCGGUACCCUUCGGCUGUCCUACAAAUCAUUGGGGUGGCUGCUGUACUUCAUUAAAUUACUUAGCAAUGACAAUCUAAUGCGUUCUGCGUAUGUUCUGUUAUGAUGAAUCAAACAGCAGUCUUAACUUUCUAGUUUCUCCUAACACCCUUUUCUUUGUAAAGUUUUGGGAUUUCUUACUGUAUAGAGUUUAAUUUCUACUUUAUUCUCACAUAUUUUUAAAAUUUAGUCAUUAGAUUUAUUAUAAAAGAUAUGUGUGAGUACAUACAUAUCUUGCUGUACGAUUUGAUGAAUGAUCUGUUUGUUAUUUCAGAGCCGUAUGUUAAAAGAAACUCACAUGUUAAAUUUUUUUGAAGUAUAUUCUCAAGGAAAAGCUUGCAGGAUAGGAACUGAUGGAUACCUUAAUCUCAGAAGCUGGAUUCCCAAAUUGACGGUGCUCCUCUUUUGCUUUGUUGUAUCGUUCAAUUGCUGAUUUCAUGCUGGUAAGAAGAUACAUUUAUAUCAGAUAUACUCUUCGCUUUUUGUGAGCUUAGCACAAAAAGAAUUUGGAAUAUGAUUUCAAGAAUCUGUAUAUGGAUAUGGAACGAAAGAAAAUUGACAUAUCAUGGUAACAUUUUAGACUAUGACUUUUUAAUAGACUUCCAUGCAAGCUUCUUUUUUCUUUUAAGCUGCUGUUACUGAUGAAGAUGUGGUUUUCAGAUCUGCUACCAGACAUUGUUGAAGCAGGGAACUAGAGAUAAGUUUCUGCAUCUUUUCCUAACUUGUUUUUCAGACCUCUAAACUCUAAAUCUAGUUAAUUCUAUAGUUGGGACAGUUGACGACACAAGUCAUUUCAUGGCGACUGAAGAUGUAACACGAGAACUAGUUUUAGCAAAUUUUAAACAACGCUUCAUUCUCAUUUCUUGUAAGCGUGCUGCUAUAUAAUUUCAGACUAGCACGUUACAGUCAUUUGCAUAUCAAGAAUUACUCGUACAUGCAGACAAGAUUAAAUUGAACUGCAUAUUUUACAGAUAUACAAGAGCUUGCCUUAGUUUCUGAACUAUGUUCUACAAGACCUUAUGGUUCGUCAAUGUCAGUUAAGUUAAUAAUCUGCACUGGGAACAGGAAUGUGUCCUCACUUUGUACUGUUGCGGUGCAAGGGUUGUUGCUAGGAGAAGUACCUUCUGUAGGAUUGAACAAUAUAUCUACGGAAUACUUCCGCUAUUUAUAAAAUCCUAGGACCAGAUUUAGUGGCAACUGGUAAUUAUUGUUUAUACUAACACUGUUGUUGGAGUUCAUAUUCUGCAGUUUCUAGUUUGAUUCCAUGGGAGCUCAUCGGUUUUCAACUACGUCGCUUUUCUAUGUGCUGCAGUUUCUACAAAAUGGUAGUCAAGUUUAAAACAGGUUAAAGUGUUUUGCUUCUAAUGUGUCAACGACAUGUAGUGUUCUUCCAGAUAGUCAUGUAUUUUGGGCAUGAAUUAACCUAAUACAUAUCAUGUAUUUUGGCAUGAAUUAACCAAUGCAUAUGUAACAUGUUGCUAGUGGCA